GCGCUGUAAAGCACCAGUGUAAACAGUGCCCCAGCGCUGGGAGCACCACUCCCAGCGCUGUAAGCUAAUCUCCACGGGGAGGUUGGGUACCUGCAGCGCUGGGAGAGCUCCUCCCAGCGUGGCUCUGC